GUCAACAUUGACGUUAGCGUCAGAAGAAGCACCGGCUAACUCCGUGCCAGCAGCCGCGGUAAUACGGAGGGUGCGAGCGUUAAUCGGAAUUACUGGGCGUAAAGCGCACGCAGGCGGUUUGUUAAGCUAGAAGUGAAAGCCCCGGGCUCAACCUGGGAAGGCCUUUUAGAACUGGCAAGCUAGAGUCUUGGAGAGGGGAGUGGAAUUCCAGGUGUAGCGGUGAAAUGCAUAGAUAUCUGGAGGAACAUCAGUGGCGAAGGCGGCUCCCUGGCCAAAGACUGACGCUCAUGUGCGAAAGUGUGGGUAGCGAACAGGAUUAGAUACCCUGGUAGUCCACACCGUAAACGCUGUCUACUAGCUGUGUGUGAAUUUAAUUUGUGCGUAGCGAAGCAAACGCGCUAAGUAGACCGCCUGGGGAGUACGGCCGCAAGGUUAAAACUCAAAUGAAUUGACGGGGGCCCGCACAAGCGGUGGAGCAUGUGGUUUAAUUCGAUGCAACGCGAAGAACCUUACCUACUCUUGACAUCCAGAGAACUUUGCAGAGAUGCGAAGGUGCCUUCGGGAAUUCUGAGACAGGUGCUGCAUGGCUGUCGUCAGCUCC
rnacentral:rRNA from 1 species